rnacentral:rRNA from 1 species
GACGAACGCUGGCGGCGUGCUUAACACAUGCAAGUCGAACGGAAAGGCCCUGCUUUUGUGGGGUGCUCGAGUGGCGAACGGGUGAGUAACACGUGAGUAACCUGCCCUUGACUUUGGGAUAACUUCAGGAAACUGGGGCUAAUACCGGAUAGGAGCUCCUGCUGCAUGGUGGGGGCUGGAAAGUUUCGGCGGUUGGGGAUGGACUCGCGGCUUAUCAGCUUGUUGGUGGGGUAGUGGCUUACCAAGGCUUUGACGGGUAGCCGGCCUGAGAGGGUGACCGGCCACAUUGGGACUGAGAUACGGCCCAGACUCCUACGAGAGGCAGCAGUGGGGAAUAUUGAACAAUGGGCGGAAGCCUGAUGCAGCAACGCCGCGUGCGGGAUGACGGCCUUCGGGUUGUAAACCGCUUUCGCCUGUGACGAAGCGUGAGUGACGGUAAUGGGUAAAGAAGCACCGGCUAACUACGUG